rnacentral:rRNA from 1 species
AGUGAACGCUGGCGGUAGGCCUAACACAUGCCAGUCGAACGGCAGCACAGUAAGAGCUUGCUCUUACGGGUGGCGAGUGGCGGACGGGUGAGGAAUACAUCGGAAUCUACUUUUUCGUGGCGGAUAACGUAGGGAAACUUACGCUAAUACCGCAUACGACCUACGGGUGAAAGCAGGGGAUCUUCGGACCUUGCGCGAUUGAAUGAGCCGAUGUCGGAUUAGCUAGUUGGCGGGGUAAAGGCCCACCAAGGCGACGAUCCGUAGCUGGUCUGAGAGGAUGAUCAGCCACACUGGAACUGAGACACGGUCCAGACUCCUACGGGAGGCAGCAGUGGGGAAUAUUGGACAAUGGGCGCAAGCCUGAUCCAGCCAUACCGCGUGGGUGAAGAAGGCCUUCGGGUUGUAAAGCCCUUUUGUUGGGAAAGAAAAGCAGCAGGUUAAUACCCCGCUGUUCUGACGGUACCCAAAGAAUAAGCACCGGCUAACUUCGUG